GGCCACAGCCAUCUCACUCUGUAGCCCAAGACCAGUUACUCACUGAAGCUAAUCAGGGCUGAGCCUGGUCAGUACCUGGAUUAGAGACCACAUGGGAAAACUAGGUUGCUGUUGGAA
rnacentral:rRNA from 1 species